UACGUAGGUGGCAAGCGUUGUCCGGAUUUACUGGGCGUAAAGGGCGUGCAGGCGGUCUGUUAAGUUCAGGGUGAAAGCUCCCGGCUCAACUGGGAGAGGUCCUUGGAUACUGGAUGACUAGAGGACCGGAGAGGAUAGUGGAAUUCCCAGUGUAGUGGUGAAAUACGUAGAGAUUGGGAAGAACACCAGUGGCGAAGGCGGCUAUCUGGACGGUUUCUGACGCUAAGACGCGAAAGCGUGGGGAGCAAACAGG
rnacentral:rRNA from 1 species